UAAUAACCAGUUUCAUUCAAUACUUAUGUAAUCGGCAAGAUAUAAAUAUGAAGCUCGUAAUGUGCAAACUGCACAGUUUGUUCAAGUGCUGCAACUCGACAAUUGAAUUUGUGAAAUAAGAAAAAAAGGUUAUAGAAAUUAGAAAACUCAGAAAAAUUUCUAAAGUAAAGAAACGAAAGAAAAAUUUCCAAAAAAUUAUUCAAAAAUGAAAAUUCUACUGAUAAUUGUGAUAUUAACAACCACAGUGAUUUUGCCUAACGCUUGUCAAGAUAACGUAAACGAAACGUUGCCUUCUGUGGUGCAAUAUAGUAUCAUAGUGGUUCCGGAGAGACCUUGUCCAGAAGGUCAACGAAAAAAUCACCAUGGAAAAUGUCGCCAAAUUGUUUAAGUUGCAAAGACGUGCAAAGUCAACUCCAAUGCCAUUAAAGUUAGCAAAGACGAGCACAGAUCGGAAAAGCAGAAAGAAAGCAAAGCAUCCUAAAAGAGAGCAUCUAGUUGAAUCAAAUAAAUAAAAUUCUUUUACGGUG